CAGUAGCCGCGGUAAUACGAAGGGUGCAAGCGUUAAUCGGAAUUACUGGGCGUAAAGCGUGCGUAGGCGGUUUGUUAAGUCUGCUGUGAAAUCCCCGGGCUCAACCUGGGAAUGGCAGUGGAUACUGGCAAGCUAGAGUGCGUCAGAGGAUGGUGGAAUUCCCGGUGUAGCGGUGAAAUGCGUAGAGAUCGGGAGGAACAUCAGUGGCGAAGGCGGCCAUCUGGGACAACACUGACGCUGAGGCACGAAAGCGUGGGGAGCAAACAGGAUUAGAUACCCCCGUAGUCCCUGUCUCUUAUAC
rnacentral:rRNA from 1 species